rnacentral:rRNA from 1 species
UAGCGUAAUCACUUGUUCUUUAAUUGAGGACUAGUAUGAAUGGCCCCACGAGGACUACACUGUCUCCUUUCUCUAAUCAAUGAAACUGAUCUCCCCGUGAAGAAGCGGGGAUAAACCUAUAAGACGAGAAGACCCUAUGGAGCUUUAAACAACAGAAAUACUUGCUUCUUUCCUACCAUUUCCUGAAAACUAAAUUAAUUCAAGCAUUUUAUCUCCCAGUUUUAGGUUGGGGUGACCACGGAGAAAAAAUAAACCUCCAUGUUGAAAGAAGCCUUCCACCUUCUAAGCAAAAAGACACAACUUUAUGCAUCAACACAUUGACUCCCAUUGACCCAAUAAUUUGAUCAACGAACCAAGUUACCCUAGGGAUAACAGSGCAAUCUACU